rnacentral:lncRNA from 1 species
UUUCGGUUACAGCAUGAAAAACGAUGCAAAACGGUGGCAAUUCGACACCCGAAUGCACUAUUUCCGGGUAGCGAAACUCGGGUGGAUUUUUUCGCAACGAACGCAUGCAAUCUUCAUAAUUAUACCCUAGAACAUGUUUGGGAGUGUUUUUGAGCAUUCGGUUCCGGAACGAAAAAUGAUGCAAAACGGGUGCAUUUCGGCACCCGAAUGCAUAUUGCCGGGUAGCGAAACUCGGGUGGAUUUUUUCGCAACGAACGCAUGCAAUCUUCCUAAUUAUACCCUAAAACAUGUUUGGGAGUGUUUUUGAGCAUUCGGUUCCGGAACGAAAAAUAAUGCAAAACGGGUGCAUUUCGGCACCCGAAUGCACUAUUGCCGGGUAGCGAAACUCGGGUGGAUUUUUUCGUAACGAACGCAUGCAAUCUUCAUAAUUAUACCCUAGAACAUGUUUGGGAGUGUUUUCUGAGCAUUCGGUUACAGCACGAAAAAUGAUGCAAAACGGGUGCAUUUCGGCAGCCGAAUGCACUAUUUCCGGGUAGCGAAACUCGGGCUGAUUUUUUCGCAACGAACGCAUGCAAUCUUCAUAAUUAUAACCUAGAACAUGUUUGGGAGUAUUUUUUAGCAUUGGGUUAUGGCACGAAAAACGAUGCAAAACGAGUGCAUUUCGGCACCCGAAUGCACUAUUUCUGGGUAGCGAAACUCGGGUGGAUUUUUUUCGCAAUGAACGCAUGCAAUCUUCCUAAUUAGACCCUAGAACAUGUUUGGGAGUGUUUUUGAGCAUUCGGUCACGGCACGAAAAACGAUGCAAAACCGGUGCAUUUCAGCACCCGAAUGCACUAUUUUCGGGAAGCAAAACUCGGGUGGAUUUUUCACAACGGACGCACCCAAUCUUCCUAAUAAGACCCUAGAACAUGUUUGGGAGUGUUUUCCAGCUUUCGGUUACGGCACGAAAAAGAUGCAAAAAAGGUGCAUUUCGACACCCGAAUACUAUUUUCGGGUAGCGAAACUCGGGUUGAUUUUUUCACAACGGACGCACCCAAUCUACCUCAUUAGAGCCUAGAACGUGUUUGUGAGUGUUUUGCUUUCGGUUAGGCACGAAAAUGAUGCAAAACGGUGCAUUUCGGCACCCGAAUGCACUAUUUCCGGGUAGCGAAACUCGGGUGGAUUUUUUCGCAACGGACGCACCCAAUCUACCUCAUUAGACCCUAGAACAUGUUUGGGAGUGUUUUUAGCUUUCGGUUACGGCACGAAAAAGAUGCAAAACGGGUGAAUUUCGGCACCCGAAUGCACUAUUUUCGGGUAGCGAAACUCGGGUGAUUUUUUCACAACGGACGCACCCAAUCUACCUCAUUAGACCCUAGAACGUGUUUGGAGUGUUUCCAGCAUUCGGUUACAGCACGAAAAAUGAUGCAAAACGGGUGCAUUUCGGCACUGAAUGCACUAUUUUCCGGGUAGCGAAACUCGGGUGGAUUUUUUCGCAACGAACGCAUCCAAUCUUCCUAAUUAUACCCUAGAACAUGUUUGGGAGUGUUUUUGAGCAUUCGGUUCCGGAACGAAAAACGAUGCAAAACGGGUGCAUUUCGGCACCCGAAUGCACUAUUUCCGGGUAGCGAAACU